CCUACGGGGUGCUGCAGUGAGGAAUAUUGGUCAAUGGCCGGAAGGCUGAACCAGCCAAGCCGCGUGAAGGACGAAGGUGCCAAGCAUUGUACACUUCUUUUGUCAAGGGACAAAAUCAGGCUCGAGAGCCUGACCGAGGGUACUUGAAGAAAAAGCAUCGACUAACUACGUGCCAGAAGCCGCGGUAAUAAGGAGGAUGCGAGCGUUAUCCGGAUUUAUUGGGUUUAAAGGGUGCGUAGGAGGGCUGUUACGUCAGCGGUAAAAGCCCGGCGCUAAACCCCGGCGAGCCGUUGAAACUGGCUGUAUUGAGAUGUCGAGAGGUAUGCGGAAUGCGCAGUGUAGCGGUGAAAUGCUUAGAUAUUGCGCAGAACUCCGAUUGCGAAGGCAGCAUACCGGCGGCGAUCUGACGCUGAGGCACGAAAGCGUGGGUAUCGAACAGGAUUAGAUACCCGUGUAGUC
rnacentral:rRNA from 1 species